GGACGUGGGGGCGCUGAGGGGACGCCCGCGCGGGGUGCUGAGGGGACGCACGCGGGGGGCGCUGAGGGACGUGGGAGUGUUGAGGUAACGCAGGCGGGGGACGCCGAGGGGACUCAUGCGGCGGGUGCUGAAGGACGUGGGGCGCUGAGGGGAUGCAUGCGCGGGGCAGUGAGGGACAUGGGGACGCUGAGGUAGCGCACGCGGGCCACCAUCGGCCACGGAUGAGACCGUUAGAACAUCUGCAAUGGGUUGAAACGCCUCAAAUGCAGUGAGAUCCAGGAGUUAUAACGAUACUAAAAAUAGCAACAAUGACCCAAGUCACCUUUGGACAUGCUAAAAACCAGCGGUACCUCAGGAUGACCAAAUAGCUGAUGAGAAAAAAUCCCUCUUCAGAAAAGUAUUACAGCUCACAGGUGAAGAAAGGAGACACAAAAUCGGAGCAUCUUCCCUCCGAAGCCCCACAGUGGAAUCACCGGUGCAGGGAGAUGGCCAGGCCUGCGGCACCCGAGAGAGGCCGUCUGACCCGGGUCCUCUGUGCAGGCAGAGAGCCCUCCGGUGUUGUGUUCCCGCCAAAACUGGCCGCGAAUCGCAGAUGAUGAUGCCGGGAUCCGCGCCCUUGCAGGAGAGACGGGGGUGUGGGGAGGAUGCCGGCAGCUCAGGGCACAGUCCAGACCUGGGGACACCGCGGGACAAAAGACGAGUCACGAGAGGAAGAAGCGGAGAGAACCAAGGAUUUUUUCCUGGUUGGAAAAAACAGAGUCUUAAAAAUCCUGUGGGAUGCCAGGGAGUCCUGGGCGCUGAUAUCUGGUGGCAUUAAGGAGUCACCAUCAAUUAUUUUAGGCAUAAAUACAGAACUGGGGUUGGGUGGGGUGUUUGGUUCUUAUCUUUGAGAAUACUUUCUGAAGUGUUUAUGGAUAAAAUAAUAUGAUGUCUGGAACUGUUUUAAAAUAGCCCAGUGAGGAAGCGGGUGGGGUGCUGGCCUUGGCAGGAACACGGGGCCAUUGUGCUGGUCUCCCGCGUCGUGUUGGAACUCACUAUAAACAGCACCAGCGAGGGACGGCAGCCUGCCCUGUGCCUGCGCUGAGGUCACUCUCACUGUGAACUCGGCUGCCUCCAGCCCAGCUCUCACAGGGUCACAGGUGGUGGCUUCAGCCAGUGUCCUGUGCAGGCUUCUUCCUGAAGGAACACAGAGUCCUGAGAGUGGGAUUUCCUGUGGUGAUUCUUCGGUCUCAGAGGCCCGAGGGACACGCGUGUUUGAGAAUCUUCUCCAUUUCCAUCUGGAUGAUCUUCGCCUUCAUUCUCCUCUCCUAUUAAAUGGAGGCCAUCAGCACGCUUAGACACGCCUGCCAGCUUUAAGAGUUUAGGGCUAAACAAAUGAAGCACAUAGUGCACUUCAAAGACUUCGAGAGGAAGGCUCAGUGUGCACAGAGGCCCCAGGAACCCUGAGCUUCCCCAGGAUGCCCAUCCUGAGCCCUCGGGGACCAUCUAACCCACUCAAACUCCAAACACUAGUCCCUCCCCCAUGACAAGGAAAGACAGGCAUGGUCCCCCACCCAUCAGCGGUGUUGCUGAAUCUGGCAGCCACUGUGUUUGUCAGACCUGCCUGCCUUGUUCAGCAGGGAAACCACUUGCUAUGAUGAAUGGAGCUGCAUGUGAAACUUAGAUAAGCAGGCAGGUCGAAAACACCUCCCGUGCCAGCAUUCCAGUUUUCUUGCUUGGCCCAAGAACCUGGUUUCAUUUUGGAAGGUGGAGGGAGUGUGCGGCGACCUUGUUGCCAUUUUCAGGCAUGGCUGGGCUCUCACACAGUCACUCUUAGAACAGACAUGUCCCUGCCUGGAGGCCAGGCCCUCUUGGGUUGUGGGAACCAAGCCCAAAAAUGUCAAACAAGUGGCAAAACCUUUAGGCACAGACACAGGAAGCAUCAACUCUGAGGCUUUGGCCAGGAUGUAAGCCCGACUUUCACAGCCCCAACUGGCAGGCUGACCUCAUGUGAACUCCCUGGCGAUGGCAUCCUGGAGACACCCACAUGGCUGAGCUGGCACCAUAGGGUGAGGGCACCAGGGCCAUGGGGACCCUGGUUGCUUGCCUCAGACAUGGCCAGCAAGGGAGGCACAACAUGGGGCUGUUGAGUGAAUGUGUGAGAGGCGGUGGGUCCCCACAGUCCAGCCACCAGCGGCCUCGCAGCAUCAUAGGAGUCUGAGGUCCAAAACAGCGGACUCACAUUUCAACCCUGCCCUGUGCUGCUCAGGGCCAAGUCUAUAAGCUGCUGUGACAAAGAGGCCCCCACAUGCAGUGGCUGCCACAGAACACGGUCAUCUGUUUUUCAUGCACGCUGUAGCCCUGGUCAUUCCAGCCAGAGCCUCCAGGUUUUGUUGCUCUUCCAGGGCACAUUCUGGGCUGUGUGAUGGAGGCUGGGCUGUGGGCUCCUCUGAGGAGGUAGAGGGAUGCGCACCAGGACCCCCGUGUUGAGGCUCGGCUCCCGCCCCAUCACCUCUACUCUGGUGAGGCCACUUCCUGCAAAGGUAGCUGGAUGCUCCUGCCUGGAGCUGCCCCUGGACCACAGGGCAUCCAGGAGAUGAAUGCACUUCCAGCCCCGCCACCCUGGGGAGAUAUACAGCUGAGGUGGCAGCUUCGGAGCAAGCAGGGCAGAGAUGCUUCCCCCUGAGGUCCCUCCCAGCUCUGCUACCCUGUCACUCAAGGUAUGGGUUGGUUGUGUUCCCCAAAAAUACAUGUUAAAAUCUGAGUCUCCAGCACCUCAGAAUAUGACAUCAUUUGGAAAUAAGGUCAUUGCAGAUCUAAUUACCAUAGUGACCCCUUAUCCUGGGGAAAAUGUUCCAAGGCCCUGGUGGAUGUCUGAAACCUCAGAUAGUACCUAACCCUAUAUACACUGUUUUUUUUCCCAUGUGUACAGAAAUAUGAUAAAGUUUAAUUUAUAAAUGAGGCACAAUAAGAGAUUAAUAACAAUGAUAAAAUAGAAUAGUUAUAACAAUAUACUGUAAUAAAAGUUAUGUGAAUG
rnacentral:lncRNA from 1 species